rnacentral:rRNA from 1 species
GACGUAGGGCGCGAGCGUUGUCCGGAUUUAUUGGGCGUAAAGAGCUCGUAGGCGGCUCGUUGCGUCGGCUGUGAAAACCCGCAGCUCAACUGUGGGCUUGCAGCCGAUACGGGCGGGCUGGAGUUCGGUAGGGGAGACUGGAAUUCCUGGUGUAGCGGUGAAAUGCGCAGAUAUCAGGAGGAACACCGGUGGCGAAGGCGGGUCUCUGGGCCUUGCCUGACGCUGAGGCGCGAAAGCUAGGGGAGCGAACAGG